rnacentral:rRNA from 1 species
CAGGCCUAACACAUGCAAGUCGGACGGCAGCAGGUCCUUCGGGAUGCUGGCGAGUGGCGGACGGGUGAGUAAUGCGUAGGAACCUAUCCUUUUGUGGGGGACAACCCAGGGAAACUUGGGCUAACUACCGCAUAAGCCGCUGAGGGGGAAACGCGGGAGGAUCAGGAUUCGAGACCUCGUGCUGAAGUCGAGGGGCCUAAACGAUCCGAUUAGCUGGAUGUUUGGUGCCUUAGGUGCUAAAGUGCCGUAGCCAAGGCGACGAUCGGUAUCCCGCCUGGUCUGAAGUACGGACGACCAGGUCCACACUCGAAGGACUGAGACGACGGCCCAGACUCCUACGCGGAGGCAGCAGUGGGGAAUUUAAUUCGCAAUGGGGGCAACCCUGACGAAGCAACCUUGCCUGCGCUUGAGAUGACCAGAAGGCCUUCAGGGUUGUGAAAGUGCCUUUCGUGGGGAAUCGGAACACAGGUGCUGCAUGGCUGUCGUCAGCUACGUGUCGUGAGAUGUUGAGGUUAAGUCCCAAGCAACGAAGCACCGGCUAACUCCUUGUUCCUAGUUGCCAGCGGUAAUACGGCCGGUGCGAGCGUCUAAUGGGAGACUGCCGGUGACGUAAAGGGCGCGGAGGAAGGUGGGGAUGACGUCAAGUCCGUGACAUGGCCUUUAUGUCCAGGGCUACACACGUGCUACAAUGGCGCGUACAGAGGGAAGCCAAGCCGCUGAGGUGGAGCAUGACCCCAGAAAGCGCGUCGUAGUUCGGAUUGCAGGUCUAGCGAACUCGACUGCAUGAAGUCGGAAUCGCUAGUAAUCGCGGAUCAGCAUGCCGCGGUGAAUACGUUCCCGGGCCUUGUACACACCGCCCA